GACGUAGGGCGCGAGCGUUGUCCGGAUUUAUUGGGCGUAAAGAGCUCGUAGGCGGCUUGUCGCGUCGUCCGUGAAAACUUGGGGCUCAACCCCAAGCUUGCGGUCGAUACGGGCAGGCUCGAGUUCGGUAGGGGAGACUGGAAUUCCUGGUGUAGCGGUGAAAUGCGCAGAUAUCAGGAGGAACACCGGUGGCGAAGGCGGGUCUCUGGGCCGAUACUGACGCUGAGGAGCGAAAGCGUGGGGAGCGAACAGG
rnacentral:rRNA from 1 species